rnacentral:rRNA from 1 species
AGCGUAGGCGGAACUACAAGACAGGGGUCAAAUCUCCGGGCUCAACCUGGAACUUGCCUUUGUGACUGUGGUUCUUGAGUAUGGUAGAGGUUGGCGGAAUUUCCGGUGUAGCGGUGGAAUGCGUAGAGAUCGGAAAGAACACCAGAGGCGAAGGCGGCCAACUGGACCAAUACUGACGCUGAGGCUCGAAAGCGUGGGGAGCAAACAGGAUUAGAUACCCUGGUAGUCCACGCUGUAAACGAUGAACACUAGAUGUCGGGAGGGGUUCCUUCCGGUGUCGUCGCUAACGCAGUAAGUGUUCCGCCUGGGGAGUACGCUCGCAAGGGUGAA